rnacentral:lncRNA from 10 species
AGAUCCGCCUCCAUCGCAGCCAGAAGCAAGAAGCUGUCUUCCCGCCCCCGCGUGCCUACAAUCAGCCCCAGUCUCCCUGGGAAACCGACGAGCGCGCGGGGUCGUUGCCGGGGGCACAGAGUGAGAACAAGCAAGGGAGCCCUGCUGAAUUGCAGCUUAGGAAGCCCUGAAUCCUGGAGAUAUGUUCCUGACCCUUCCUUCUUGAAGGGACAGCUGUGUAACCAUUCAACCAUCUGGCCAUCAGUUUCCACAUCUGUGAAAUCAACUUCUGCCUCAUGGAGCCGUGAGUUCCCAAGGAAAUGCUGAGUUAAUGUGACCCAGCUUGUUCAAGGAGCAGCCAGGAUACCAGCCAGCCGCAGAGGCCUGAGGAAAGCAAAAGGAAACCAACUUGAGGCCACAUGACUGAAUGACAGUCCAGGGUACUUGGCACUGAUGCAGUAGUGAUAAGGAAUUCUUUAAGAAUUUAGGGCAGGGGUGUGAGGGUUAAUGUCAAGAAGGUUAGUCUGAUCUUAGCAAACAAACCAAGGUGAAUCGGAUUGACAGAAAUUCCAGUGAGAAGUUUAUGAUACAACUGCAACCCAGUGAGUGUGAUGACCAUGAGAAUGGAGUGGAGAGUACAAAAAUAACAGCAUUUAGUUGCAGAUUAGAAACAGAUGUGAAGGGCGAAAAAGCACCAUAGGGAAGGACAUAAGAGGUCCCUGGAGUCAGACUUGGGAGAUGUGAGUUUUAUCAGUUUUGCCAUUAGGUAGUUGUGUGCACCCUUGGGCAUAUAGCACUUUUUUGGUAAUUCUAUUUUCGCACUUUUCAAAUGAGAUGCAAUUAGAUUAGAGACUGUAAAGUAAAAGCUGCCAUGCUUCAUUUUUUUAAACCAAUAAAGCAUUUUAUAGGAGUUUGAAUUGACUGUCGACAUUUAUACACUGGAAUAACAUACAAAUCUGGAUUUCUAGCUUCUCUUGAAAAACUGGAAAAUCUGGUAAUACCAGGCUCCUGAUCUCAUAUGACAGCAAUGCGCUUCACCUUGAGUAGCAGCUAGAGUGCUGUCUAGCCAGGUGACCACAGUUCUCCCUACUGUCCUUCAACUUGCGAGUUUGUUUCAAUCAUAUUAUGUCCAGAAUUGGUGGGUUCUUGGUCUCACUGACUUCAAGAAUAAAGCCGCGGACCCUCGUGGUGAGUGUCACAGUUCUUAAAGGCAGCGUGUCCGGAGUUUGUUCCUUCUGAUGUUCGGAUGUGUUCGGAGUUUCUUCCUUCCGGUGGGUUCAUGGUCUCGCAAGCCCAGGAGUGAAGCUGCAGACCUUCGUGCAGUGAAGGCAGUGAGGGGCUGUGGUGUGAUCCAGGAGGCUGAGAAUUAUGCAGUGGGUGCUGUCACCUUGAAGACAUCAGCGUGAUCAGGCAGAUCAUCAUGGUACUGCAUUUCCUGGACACGAUCUUAAUUUUCUUAAUACCUCCACCGACAUUUCAAAUAGCGUCUCUAAUGCCCCAGAGACUUUUAUGCCCCUAAGGUAGUUUUCUUUCUUUUGUGAAGCAGAAGAAGGGAAAUUGUUAAAGGGAAUAUUUUAACUAAAUUUAUUUCCAUAAAACUAUCUUUGUCUUUAUAUCUCAUGGAAAGUGUUAGGUAGCCUCAGGAUUAUAUCUCCGUUGGAAAACUGUAGAUGUAAACCUUCUUGCUAUCUACAUACUUACAUAUUUUUCUGUUGUUAUUUACUUAUGAAUAGCAUUUUGAUUAUAGCAGAAAUAAAAUACAUUAAAUGACUAAGCUCAGAAAUAAGAAAAAAAGGUCAAUGGUGAUCAUUUAUUUGGAAACUAUGAUAUUUUAAUGAUAUUAAUGGUGUAAUUGACAUUUAGUUAAACAUAUUUCAUCGUAAGUAGAGCACUUUAACUCUUACGGUCCACUUAAAAUGUAAUCAUACGUUUAUGUAUUUCUAGUUAAUGUAUCAAACUCAACUGAGUAAUCAAUGUACAUCAUUUAUUUUGCUCCUAAGUUAAUACACUAAGUUAUGCUUUAAAAUUACUAAUUUGCUGCAAUAUCCAAUACUCUCUUUUAAGUCUUACGUCUGCAGAAAAGGAUAUAAACAUUUCAUGACACCAAACCCAAGUAUUUUUGAUGCCCUUGGCAGUGUCAGUUGAACAGACAGUGUCAUUUAAUGUUUGAGACAGCAUCUGAAUUCCUUUUAUUCUUAAAAUUCUAUUUUAAAAUGCAGUUUUUGGAAAGUUAAUGUGAAUAGAAAAAUUUCUAACAUUUUAUGUGCAUGUGUUUUGUUUGUUACAGGCUUAGCAUCUCAAAUCUGAAAAUUCGAAAUCUGAAAUGUUUCUAAAAUUCAACUCUUUUGAGUGCUGAUAUGACUUUCAAAGGAAAAGCUCAUUGGAGCAUUUCAGAUUUUGGAUUUUUGGAUUUGGGAUGUUUAACCAGGGUAAAAUAUAGAAUGCAAAUAUUCCAAAAUCUGAAUAAAAUUGAAAUCUGAAAUGCUUAUGGUUCCAAGCAUUUUGGAUAAGGGAUAAUUAAGCUGUAUAACUUAUAAAACUGAAUAUAACAAAAUUUCCCAACAUGUGGAAAAUGAUGUCUUUUUUCAAAAAUGUCAAUAGCAGAUACAUGGUACAGUAAGUUAGGGGAAAAAAUGAGGUUUCAUAUCUUCUAGUUUCCUAAUUAAAAGGAGCCCAUUCUGGGUUGGAAGAAAGUGUCAGUAAGAUCAUUUCUCCUAUUUGAAAAUCAUACAAAGCUUGUCAGAGUGACUCAGGCCAGGAGUGUAGCUGGGCGUGUAGCUAAAUGAUAUCUCCCCACAUCUAUAUAAUAAGCUGUUACCUGCUUUAAAAGGAAAAGCUCUCAGCAUGACUCUAAUGUUGCAUUUCUGGAAUACAGCUUGAAAAGCUCUUCUCAGGGUUGAACAGAGCAUGAAGGUAAUGGUUAUUAUCUACUCACAUUAAAAAAAAAAAAAAAGAAAGAAACCACCACAGAAAACUACUUACUGUCUUUAGGCUCUACUUUCAAAAGUGCCCUUUAUGAACGCUUUUACACUGUUGAUGGGAGUGUAAAUUAGUUCAACCAUUGUGGAAGACAGUGUGGUGAUUCCUCAAGGAUCUAGAAUCAGAAAUACCAUUUGACCCAGCAAUCCCAUUACUGGGUAUAUACCCAAAGGAUUAUAAAUCAUUCUAUUAUAAAGACACAUGCACACGUAUGUUUAUUGCAGCACUGUUCACAAUAGCAAAGACUUGGAACCAACCCAAAUGCCCAUCAAUGAUAGACUGGAUAAAGAAAUUGUGGCACAUACACACCAUGGAAUACUAUGCAGCCAUAAUAAAAGAUGAGUUCAUGUCCUUUGCAAGGACAUGGACAAAGCUGGAAACCAUCAUUCUCAGCAAACAAGAACAGAAAAUCAAACACUGCAUGUUCUCAGUCUAAGUGGGAGCUGAACAAUGAGAAAACAUGGACACAGAGAGGGGAACAUCACACACUGGGCCUGUUGGGGGGUAGGGGGCUAGGGGAGGGAUAGCAUUAGGAGAAAUACCUAAUGUAAAUGACAGGUUAAUGGGUGCAGCAAACCACCAUGGCAUGUGUAUACCUAUGUAACAAACCUGCAUGUUCUGCACAUGUAUCCCAGAACUUAAAGUAUAAAUAAAUAAAUGAAUAAAUAAAUAAAUUUUAAAAAGUGCCCUUUAUGUGUGUGUGUGUGUAUAUAUACAUAUAUAUUACAUAUAUGUUUUAAAUAUAUUUAUUUUUUGUAGUUCAGAGGUCUUUUAUCUUUCUAUACCUAUUAUGCCAUGAAUUCAUAGGGAAUAGGUUCCAGCAGCUCAGGCUCCUCUCCA